rnacentral:rRNA from 1 species
CUUCUCCCUUCCUCCCUCCCGGCCGGCGGGCCUCCUCCCUCAACAGCGGCGCGCCUCCUCCCCCAUCGCCGUUGUUUCUUUCCCAUGGACGUCGUGCCUCCUCUCCCAUGUCGGCGGACCUUCUUCCACACAGCCAACAGGCAUACUCCCCCACGGCCGGUGAGCCUCCUCCCCCAUGGACGAUCCAUUCUGUCCACGCGCCGUCGUCCUCCUGGCUACGUCCCAUCGAGCGCCGCCCCUGCAUCUUGCCACCACGCAUCGAGCGAUGCAGCACUCAGGGUCGUUUCGCCACCACCACCUCCGGCCGUUCAGCGAUGCAGCAGCAAGAUGUUCAACGCCUCAGCCCCCCUGCGAAUCCCACUGUUGCAGCAACCGGACGAGGCCCAUAUCUUUUUUCUUUGAUAAGAUAAUUUUUAUUGCAUACUGUCUGUUAUUUUGCUCUGUCAUUUUGCUGAUGCCUAAAAAGAAGUUAGAUGAUGGGCUCUGCGGUCUGCAAGCUGCCUCCAACCUUUGGCAAUAUUUGUAAAAAUGAUUGUGCAGAUUUUUUGUUACCCCAUUUUAGUUACUGAUUGAAGAAAAUUUUGUUCAUUAGGUGAAAGAACUUGAUUUCUUUUGUUCCUUUGUGGAGGAAGAAGGUCACCACAGAGGUAGGGAGAAGGUCACCAUAAAGGCAGGGAGAAGGUCACAUAAGGUGCAGAAAGAAUGUCAGAGUUCAGCAACGGGGUGUGAUCUUUGUGUUGUUUUUGGGGUGCAAAUCAUGGGUAUGCGAUCUCACAUCCUGUGUACUAUUGAGAUGGCCUCCCUUAGCCUCAAACCAUAUUGCCUACAAAAAUGAUAGUCGCAAUGCUACCGUCAUGUGUGUAAAGAGAAUUAGAUAUGUACAUGUACACAACCUACAACAACUUUAUGGGGAGUUGAUGGAUUAUUCAGUGGUUGUUGCUGCCACUACUGAUUUUUUCUUGAGAUGGUCUACAUCACCAUUCAAUAAUUCACUUGUUUCUUGGUUGCAUCUAGUUCCCUCGCUUCACCUCAACACUGUUCCCUUCAGCUAGAUCUCCCUUGUUAUUUUGUAUUCUUAUUUUCUUUUCAUAAAGCAUUUGCUCUGAAAUUCGGAUCCGAUGAUGUAGCUUUGACUAUUCAUGAAAAUGUGGUGAAAAUUGUACAUGCUCUC